rnacentral:rRNA from 1 species
UACGUAGGGUCCGAGCGUUGUCCGGAAUUACUGGGCGUAAAGAGCUCGUAGGUGGCUUGUCGCGUCGACUGUGAAAUCCCGCGGCUCAACUGCGGGUCUGCAGUCGAUACGGGCAGGCUAGAGUUCGGUAGGGGAGACUGGAAUUCCUGGUGUAGCGGUGAAAUGCGCAGAUAUCAGGAGGAACACCGGUGGCGAAGGCGGGUCUCUGGGCCGAUACUGACGCUGAGGAGCGAAAGCGUGGGGAGCGAACAGG